AACGAACGCUGGCGGCAGGCCUAACACAUGCAAGUCGAACGCCCUAGCAAUAGGGAGUGGCAGACGGGUGAGUAACGCGUGGGAACGUGCCUUUCGGUUCGGAAUAACUCAGGGAAACUUGAGCUAAUACCGGAUACGCCCUUCGGGGGAAAGAUUUAUUGCCGAAAGAUCGGCCCGCGUCCGAUUAGCUAGUUGGUGUGGUAAUGGCGCACCAAGGCGACGAUCGGUAGCUGGUCUGAGAGGAUGAUCAGCCACACUGGGACUGAGACACGGCCCAGACUCCUACGGGAGGCAGCAGUGGGGAAUAUUGGACAAUGGGCGCAAGCCUGAUCCAGCCAUGCCGCGUGAGUGAUGAAGGCCCUAGGGUUGUAAAGCUCUUUCGCCAGGGACGAUAAUGGCGGUACCUGGAUAAGAAGCCCCGGCUAACUUCGUGCCAGCCGCCGCAGUAACAC
rnacentral:rRNA from 1 species